GACGAACGCUGGCGGCGUGCUUAACACAUGCAAGUCGAACGGAAAGGCCUGCUUUCCCUUGUGGAUUGCGGGUACUUGAGUAGCGAACGGGUGAGUAACACGUGAGUGAUCUGCCCCCAACUUGGGUAUAAGCCUGGGAAACUGGGUCUAAUUCCCGAUAGGACUGCAGGGUGGUGCCUGUGGUGGAACACGAUUUUCUAGUGGUUGGGGAUGAGCUCGCGGCCUAUCAGCUUGUUGGUGGGGUAAUGGCCUACCAAGGCGGCGACGGGUAGCCGGCCUGAGAGGGUGGACGGCCACAUUGGGACUGAGAUACGGCCCAGACUCCUACGGGAGGCAGCAGUGGGGAAUAUUGCACAAUGGGCGGAAGCCUGAUGCAGCGACGCCGCGUGGGGGAUGACGGCCUUCGGGUUGUAAACUCCUUUCGACCGCGAGGAAGCCACCUGGUUGGAAGGGUGGUGACGGUAGUGGUAGAAGAAGCACCGGCUAACUACGUG
rnacentral:rRNA from 1 species